CACUUGAGUGUCUAGGGGAAGCCGGUCAAAGUCCGGCACUGUCCCGCAACCGUAGGUUAGAAAUUUUCUAACAAGUCGGAGUGCCUAGCAAGUG
rnacentral:ncRNA from 1 species